UCUUCAUUAGGAUGUCAUCAUCAGCUUCUUCCUGGACUUCGGCAAACAACCCAAUGUGCACUUGUGGGAAGCCCGCAAAACUUAGAACAUCGAAUACGCCAAGAAAUCCGGACCGAUCAUUUUUUGGGUGUCCAAACUGCAAUACGAAGGGAUUAUCACACUGCAGCUAUUUCAAAUGGGCAAAUCGCAAUGAGGAAAGAGAAAAAGAUCUUAUGAAGAUAUAAAUUGAGUUGUUAAGAAAUGAGGAAGAGCUUCAAAGAAGAGAUGAAGAGAUUGUGAAGUAUAAGUUGGGAAUCCAUAACGACCAACUUGAUAUUCAAAGGCAACAAGCAAAGAUCCGGCGUGAACGCACACUACUUAAAAUCUCUUGGAUUAUUUUUAUAUUAAUUUCAUUGUAUUGCAUCUGUAAACAAUGAAACCAUAUUACUUGAGGGAAAUUUGUAUAUACUUUUGUGGCAUUUGUUGUGUAUAACUUUAAGCAACUAGUUGAGAAAUUGAGUUGUA